AACUACCUUCACUCACUCCCUCAAAUUUUGAUUUUGGCUGGGCAUUCUUCCAAAAACCUGUCAAAAACUCAAGAAGAACAAAAACCUGCCUUGCUAAACUCACAAAAUCCAAGAGCUGCAUUCAGUUUGUUUUUGCGUUUUCUGUCCAAGCACAAUGAACAAAACCUGAGCCAUUCUCUGUCAUACCUAAAAAAAAAAAACCUCAAUAUAGCAGACCAAACACUUACUCCCUCAUUUUUUUCCCUCAAGCCUCACUUUGCCAUCUCACCAUUUCAAAACCUGUUUUC
rnacentral:lncRNA from 1 species